GCUCGGUUGUUCAGAUUAUCAUGGAUGAGAUGAUAAGGAAGCGCCUGAUAUAGCUUUCAAAAUUGAAGUUGGGUCGCCGAAUUGAGGCCAAGGCCCAUGUUGUUCUGCAUUUUUACAGAUGGUCUUCUGUGAUCAAAUUGGCGUCUCAAUUUCAACAAGGAUGCUGAUAUGAUGAUUGAGGAAAUGAAGCUUAGAGUUGUCUACACAUUGCCCAGUGGAAGCUCAGACAACAACGGAGUUACAUCUUUGGCAUACAGGAGCUUCAGGAACUUC